rnacentral:rRNA from 1 species
UCGUCACACUAUCAUUAACUGAAUCCAUAGGUUAAUGAGGCGAACCGGGGGAACUGAAACAUCUAAGUACCCCGAGGAAAAGAAAUCAACCGAGAUUCCCCCAGUAGCGGCGAGCGAACGGGGAGGAGCCCAGAGCCUGAAUCAGCAUGUGUGUUAGUGGAAGCGUCUGGAAAGGCGCGCGAUACAGGGUGACAGCCCCGUACACAAAAGCGCAUGUGCUGUGAGCUCGAUGAGUAGGGCGGGACACGUGGUAUCCUGUCUGAAUAUGGGGGGACCAUCCUCCAAGGCUAAAUACUCCUGACUGACCGAUAGUGAACCAGUACCGUGAGGGAAAGGCGAAAAGAACCCCGGCGAGGGGAGUGAAAAAGAACCUGAAACCGUGUACGUACAAGCAGUGGGAGCACAGGUUUACCUGUGUGACUGCGUACCUUUUGUAUAAUGGGUCAGCGACUUAUAUUCUGUAGCAAGGUUAACCGUAUAGGGGAGCCGAAGGGAAACCGAGUCUUAACCGGGCGUUAAGUUGCAGGGUAUAGACCCGAAACCCGGUGAUCUAGCCAUGGGCAGGUUGAAGGUUGGGUAACACUAACUGGAGGACCGAACCGACUAAUGUUGAAAAAUUAGCGGAUGACCUGUGGCUGGGGGUGAAAGGCCAAUCAAACCGGGAGAUAGCUGGUUCUCCCCGAAAGCUAUUUAGGUAGCGCCUCGUGAAUUCAUCUCCGGGGGUAGAGCACUGUUUCGGCUAGGGGGCCAUCCCGGCUUACCAACCCGAUGCAAACUGCGAAUACCGGAGAAUGUUAUCACGGGAGACACACGGCGGGUGCUAACGUCCGUCGUGAAGAGGGAAACAACCCAGACCGCCAGCUAAGGUCCCAAAGUCAUGGUUAAGUGGGAAACGAUGUGGGAAGGCCCAGACAGCCAGGAUGUUGGCUUAGAAGCAGCCAUCAUUUAAAGAAAGCGUAAUAGCUCACUGGUCGAGUCGGCCUGCGCG